rnacentral:rRNA from 1 species
CGUAAGCGGACGUAUAGGGUGUGACGCCUGCCCGGUGCUGGAAGGUUAAGAGGAAAUGUGAAAGCAUUAAAUUGAAGCCCCAGUAAACGGCGGCCGUAACUAUAACGGUCCUAAGGUAGCGAAAUUCCUUGUCGGGUAAGUUCCGACCUGCACGAAUGGCGUAAUGAUGGCCACACUGUCUCCAUCCGAGACUCAGUGAAAUUGAAAUUGCUGUGAAGAUGCAGUAUACCCGCGGCUAGACGGAAAGACCCCGUGAACCUUUACUAUAACUUCAUAUUGAAAGUGGUUAUUGUUUGUGUAGAAUAGCUGGGAGACAAUGAAGUACAAACGCAAGUUUGUAUGGAGUCAAUAUUGAAAUACCAGCCUAAUUUUAAUUCUUUCUAACUUUAUACCGUUAUCCGGUGUAAGGACAGUGUGUGGUGGGUAGUUUGACUGGGGCGGUCUCCUCCAAAAGAGUAACGGAGGAGCGCAAAGGUAUCCUAAGUACGGUCGGAAAUCGUAUUAAUAGUGUAAGAGCAUAAGGGUGCUUAACUGCGAGACAAACAAGUCGAGCAGAUACGAAAGUAGGUUCUAGUGAUCCGGUGGUUCUGUAUGGAAUGGCCAUCGCUCAACGAAUAAAAGGUACUCCGGGGAUAACAGGCUAAUACCGCCCAAGAGUUCACAUCGACGGCGGUGUUUGGCACCUCGAUGUCGGCUCAUCACAUCCUGGGGCUGAAGCAGGUCCCAAGGGUAUGGCUGUUCGCCAUUUAAAGUGGUACGCGAGCUGGGUUUAGAACGUCGUGAGACAGUUCGGUCCCUAUCUACCGCGGGCGUAGGAAGUUUGAGAAGAGCUGCUCUUAGUACGAGAGGACCGGAGUGGACGAACCUCUGGUGUUCCGGUUGUCAUGCCAAUGGCAUUGCCGGGUAGCUAAGUUCGGAAUGGAUAACUGCUGAAAGCAUAUAAGCGGGAAACCAACUUCAAGAAAAGACUUCCCAGGUUAAAACCCUAAAGGGCCCUCGAAGAAGACGAGGUUGAUAGGCACGGUGUGUAAGAGUGGUAACCACUUUAAGCUAACGUGUACUAAUAGUCCGUGAGGCUUUAUCAU